rnacentral:lncRNA from 1 species
CUUCUCUCAAGAUGUUAAUCAUCGGGGCUGAUUCAGGUGCAAGAAGAAACACUCUCCAGGCAGCUCAGGUAGAAGGGAUUUACAUGGGAGGAGAUGAGAAAACUUUAUGCAAAGGCUCGAUGGUGAGGAAGAUCAUGGACUGUUCACAGAAUGAGUGAGGCAUAGCAUGGCUCAAAAAGAGAGAAGGAGGAAUAUGGGAGAAGCCUGGAGAGUGGACAGAGGCCACAUCAAGGGGAGCCGUGUCAGGCAUGCAUUCAGAACACACAUUUGGUGGGGAGUUAGGUACACAGAAUAGUGAUGAAGAUCAUAGACUCUGGAAGCAAGCAGAUCCAGAUUCAAAACCCAGGGUCCCUCUAAACGGGCUGUGUAAUGUUGGAAAGUUACCUAAUUGUGCAAGCAGUACUUCCUUAUGUAAAAUGGACACGGAGCAGCUUUCUUAAAGGCUGUGUGAUGCGUACAUAAGAUAGUGCAGAUGAAGCACUCAUCAUAAGGUUCACCUAAUAGAGGCUUAUGUUGCUGAUUAUUAUUGCGUAGUCUUUUCAUUAUACUUGAUCUCAUGUCAGACCUUCCAUGAUACACUCAAAAACCUCUUUCACAAUCGUAUCUCUCCUAUUUCUCAAGAAGAAAUUUCCACCAGGAGAAAACUGGUAUCACCACCAUCAAACACUUCUUCUACAGGGACUUUUCUAUGUCAUAACUUGUGCUAAUUUCCAUGUUCGGUCAACAAUAAUUUACUGAACGUACACUGUUUCAGAUACUAUGUUAGGCAUUAUGGAUGUACAGAUAAUUAAAGCGUAUUUUCUAACCUGUAGGGGCUUGCAUGAUACAGGAAGCAUUUUCUUUCUUGGAAUACUACGUCCCAGACUCUGAGGACUUCUCUUUUGCUGCUUAUCUUUUAAAUGUUAGGGUUAUAGGUACCCUGAAUGCACGUUCCAGGGGGAUGACUUCACCUGAGCCCCAUGUGAAAUCUUACUUCAUCUUCACAGCAGUGUUUUGAGACAGUUGUCAUGGACUCCAUUUUAACUGAUAGGGGGAAAACAACACAAAAAAAACCCCCCAAAAAACCUCUGAAAACUCAGAGGAGGUGCAUUCAUACAGGUUAUAAGUGAUGGAUAUAGGAUUGGGACAAAGGCCUAUCUAACAGCAAAGGUCAUAAUAUACUUUCUACCAAACCAUAUCUUCAGGAGCUCUUCAUGCAUGAGUUUAGACAAGGGCAGCUACUUGAGAUUUUUAGUGAGAUUCGGGCUGGUUCUCGUCCUCUGCAUUUCCCCUCUACAGGUCAUGGAAAGUUAGUCCUAAAUCGGCGUUGUCUAAAUAUUAGGGGAGGUCAGAACUUUGGGAAUUUCUUCUCAGGCUAGUCCUGGAACUAGUCAAAAUUUAUAGAGAUUAAAUUAAGAGCCAAAUCUAAAUAGCCAGCAGUUUAAUCUCCACAUAAUAGCUUAGAUCUGGCUUCCAGGCAACUGCAGAUUCUUAACUCUCCAGAAGGGAAAGAAACUAGACACCAAAGUGCUCCUGCUUGACGGUUGAAUCUAAACCUCAUUUAGAAAUCAGCCACAUAUUAUAAAUCUGACCAUAAACUGUUCAAAGUUACUUUUGAAGAUGAAGAAAAAAAAAAUGACCAAUUCAUCCAAAUGUCUGACCAGCCUCACCCAAUCUCCUCAUUGGUAAUAAAUUACUAAAAUCUGAACUAUAUUGCUCUGGGUCACACGUGUCUCAUGGUGCUGACAAUAAAGCCUCCUCUACCUCCUGCGUUCUUCCCACAGAUAUUACCUAUAGAAAAAUUUUAAAUAAUACAUUGUAUUUAACCCAAUGUAUGUAAACACAUAUAUUACUUUCGAUUUGCAAAGGCACGAGGGGUUCAGUGAAAUCGCACAUCAGUAGAAGUGGGUUUCUACAAUGGGCUGUUUUAGAAGCUUUAAUUUUUCUUGCCUUUCUUGGUUUCUGCGGUGAAAUGAUUAGAAUAAAACAGGGACACUUUUCAGUGAUAGAAUUAAGACCUCUCUUCAGAGUAAAUCCUUCUUUACUUUGCCUCCUUUCAAGUACACGAGAAGAGCUGCUAGACAAGUUUAUUUAAUCACUUGGAAUACGUCAUGUUAACUCAAGGAAAAAGCAAAGUGCCUGAAAAGCCAGGAUAAACUGUGCAUAACUUUUUUCCCCCUCACAAAAUCUAGUUCCAAUAAAAACCAUCUUUACUGCCUGAGGCUAAUGUGUAAGUUAGUGAAAGAUUAUGGUCUGGUUUUUAUAGCAUUUUAUGUAGUAUUUGACAAUCCAUAGGGACCUUGCCUGUUAGUCCUUUACAAAUACAAAAUGUAAUUUCAAAUUUCACUUCAUCAUGGUAAUAGGGUAUAUCAGCUUCCUUUCUAAAGCCUACAGACCAUCCUGUCACCUUAGGGAGCCUCAAACAACCUGACUUAAUCAUUUCUCAGUGACUCAUUGCACACUGCCCACUCUUGUGAAAAUAUAUAAAUCCUAAUUAUUUUUAAAGCUCUUUUCUAAAAAAUGAACUUGGUUUCUUGUAGGCACUCCAGCUAAGCAUACACAGAAAAAAUAGAUAUGAAGAGAUUCUUUGUCUCUGAAGGAUUGGAUUCGUUUAUACAUUCGCUCCUGAGCAGAAAAAAGCCUCUGAUAUUGAGAACCUUACUGCAGGAAGGCAGCCAAUCAAAAUCCCUAACGGGGAAAAGAAAUGGAGACAAUUGCUCAUAGCGUGAUGCUAAUUGUACAUACAGAGUAGCUGCCACGGCACACAACCCUCCCAAGCAGGAGUGAAGUUGGUUAGUCAUUUGCAAGAUAGAUGAAACUAUGUUUCUCAACAUCUUGCAGAUGAGAGAGGAGAAACUCAGAGACACUGACUUGUCAAGAUCUCAAGGCUAAUUCUUGACUAGAGUUGACACUGGGUCUUCCAGUAUUCAGUUAAUUUAUCCCUCCAAAAUAUCUCACUGCCAUUUACGUUGUUAAAUAAGUUUCAUACCUUCUACACAGGUCAUGUCUUGCCCCGAUUAGUUAUUUCUUAUUUAACCAAACAGUUCAGUUAACCAGGACAGGGUCUUUGCUAUUUAGCAGUUCAUAUGGAGGUGUUUGUUAUUUCUUCCUGCGUGAUACUCAGGCUGGGCCCUCCUCCCACAGGGAGCUGAACACUAAGAAGAGAUGGGCCCGUUGCAACUCUGAUUGCUCACAAUCCUAAUGGGCCAGGAGUGUGAUGAUCUUAAGCUAGAUUCCUCUCAGGAGCCUGUGGAUUCCACAGCCCAAUCCUCGAGCCCAGAUAAGCCACUUUAGAGACAAACAUCGUUCCACCAUCUUGAAACCAAGGUUUACUGGUCCAGCAUGUGCCCCAUCAUCAUACCACAAUUUCCAGGGCUAUCUAUGCUGAGCAUCACUUUAUCAAUUUACAGAUGGCAAAAUGAGAAUUCUACCCCAUCUAGCCAACCUAACUUACAGAAUGUCAAUACCUCAAAAUCCAUCUUGAGCUAUAUUCCAAAGUUUCUAUAACAGAAUUCUAAUAGACACCUAAGAGGCUGACGGAAGAAGCUCUCUCUUCUUUCCAAUUUGCUUUUUAAAAUGUGAAUGCAUUGUAACUUGCAGCUGAAUACUUCCGUAAAGAUAAUUACAUAUGGCAAGACAGAAAAACUUUUUGAAAAAAAAUAUUCCCUUGAAUAUGUGCCUGAAUUCAUUUACAACUGUUGCUGCUUUAAACACUUCAGGCAGAAUAAGUGGAUGGCACUAAACAGCUUAGCUGCAAUUAUUAUGGAAUGUCUGAGGUAUAAUUUCCCCUGCGGUUUUGUUAGGCGUACAAAAUUCAUAAUUCUGAUUUGUGGCAGGUACUUAUUACCCAUCACAGGUGGGGAUAUGCAAAUAUUAUUCUAGUAGGGGUGAACAGCCUUUAUUUCAGUAUUCAGCUAUUAACGAGAUUUGUGAGUCUGGUACUCUGGGGCCAUUUAAUUAAUUAGAUGGUACAGAUAAAAUAUAAAUUGUUUGGUAGGCUACACAAUUCCUGUCCUAGGAGGUGUAAAACUGAGGCUAAAUGAACUUCGUGCAGAUUGAUUUGUUGUUUUUUUUUCUAUAGCUCUCAGUAAAUGUAAAUCCUGCUCAUUAUUUUACUGUAUUAAUUCCACUCAUAAUCCUCAUAUUCUCUGAGUUUCAUUAAAAUAGAUGUUGCGCAUUUGACUGUUUUGUCAAGUGACUUUAUCACUUAAUCUCCAUGUCCUUGCAGUGAGCACGUCCUUUAGAUAUAUAGAAAGAAUGAAUCUACAGAAAACUUUGAAAAUUUUUCAUGUUCUUGAAUAAGAAUUUUUUAAUUAACUUAUACUAUUGUGUAUGCAGAUAUAACAUUUACUAAAAUAAAUCCUGAGAAAUUGCAUGGUAUUUAAUAAGAGCUUUGUUGGGGUCAAUCAAAAAGUAAUGCAGCCUACACAAAUAACCUGCACUUAAGGAGAAUAAUUUCCCAUGCUUUUGAUACCUCAAGGAGGUGAGAAGGUUGCGGCUAUAUGGCCAAUGGCAAGUGAGUUUAACUGCUACUUUGCCUCUAUUUGUUCGGCACUGGAUGCCUAGCAAUGCCAUGAGAUGGAUUUGGGAUCUUUCCCUGACAUAACGGGGAAAGUCGCUGUGAUGGAUUGUCCUGCCUGGCAUGGGUGUGUCAUCAUAGAGUGGUGGUCUUCAUGCUAGAUAUUUGCCAGUUGGGAUUUACAUCCUUGGUGAUAACUCAAAAGGUUUUAAUCAUCUUGUUGAUGACCCUUACUUUGGCAAUGAAGAACAAAAACUCACACCUUUUGUUUCAUUCAGAAGAUACUCGACUGAUUUAUUAUUAAACAGCAUAGCAAUUCCCAGCUUCUAAUACAAGAUUUGGACAUGUUUACAUCAAUUUUAUUUUGAAACUAGAAACUAAGUACUUAGAUAAACGAAUUUUUUUCCUGAGUUAAAGUUGGGUUCAGAGUUGCCAUUGUGGCUUAGCAGUUAACGAGCCCGACAGGCAUCAGGCGUGGGUUCGAUCCCUGGCCUCCCUCAGCGGGUUAAGGAUCCAGUGUUGCUGUGACCUGUGGUGUGGGUCACAGAUGCGGCUCAGAUCUGGUGUUGCUGUGGCUGUGGUGUAGGCCGGCAGCUG